ACUAACGUGAAACGGUUCCUUCGACUAAACAAAUGAAGUUGCUUUUAUUUUUGGCAUUUUCAUUGCUUGCAAUUCAUCCAGGUUCAGUCAGGCCGACAUUGGCUUGAAACCCGCCUUGCGUACACUGACAACUGAAUUUGACACAAAAGCUAAAAAAAUUGAUUCUUUCAUCGCUUGAAAAGUCAAAUUAAAUGAGGUUCUUUCACUCCCAACUCUCGAAAUUUUAAAUGCUUUAACAAAAACGAAUGUUGAUUGGAUGGAUCAAUUGACCGGUGCAUUCAUAAAUUCAGAUAUAUUGAAGAACAGUUUUCCAGCUGGUGAAAGUAGUAAAUCAACCAAAUCAGUAGAUAAAGAAAUUAAAUCAUUUAAUGAUAAUCAUGAAAAAAUUUGCAAUACUAUUGGUAGACUAUUGUUGGAAACAGUUGAGCCGUCUUUUGAAAAAAUCAAUGGAUUCGAAGACGCGUUCUAGAGACGUAUACAUGAAUAAAUUGAAUUCAUUAAAUAAUCCUACGUCAAAACACACAGGCUCACUUUCUAAGGCGUUCACAAGGCAAAUUUGCGGGUGCGGUCAACAAACUAUUUGAAAAUUUAAAUACAUUUGCUUCUCAAGCGGUUAAGUGUGCAGCGUUCUUAUUAAAAGCGAAAGAUCUAAGCCUCGACUCAAAAUAUAAGCUUUCAAAGGAAGAAUUACAAAAAACAGAACAAGCGUUUGAAGAAGUUUGUGGAGAAAGUAUUGUAUUGGAUUUUUGAAUGAAACCAAGUAGACCAAGUUAAUCCAAUUAGCUGUUUUUGCUUCGAUAAAAUUAACACUUAAGUUUCAUUAUAAAAAUUCAAAUGUAAUGGAUCACAAUAAAAACAAAUGCAGAUAAAA